ACGAACGCUGGCGGCGUGCUUAACACAUGCAAGUCGAACGAGAAUCUACUGAAAGAGUUUUCGGACAAUGGAUGUAGAGGAAAGUGGCGGACGGGUGAGUAACGCGUGAGGAACCUGCCUUGAAGAGGGGGACAACAGUUGGAAACGACUGCUAAUACCGCAUGAUGCAUAGGGGUCGCAUGAUCUUUAUGCCAAAGAUUUAUCGCUUCAAGAUGGCCUCGCGUCUGAUUAGCUAGUUGGCGGGGUAACGGCCCACCAAGGCGACGAUCAGUAGCCGGACUGAGAGGUUGAACGGCCACAUUGGGACUGAGAUACGGCCCAGACUCCUACGGGAGGCAGCAGUGGGGAAUAUUGGGCAAUGGGCGCAAGCCUGACCCAGCAACGCCGCGUGAAGGAAGAAGGCUUUCGGGUUGUAAACUUCUUUUAAGAGGGAAGAGCAGAAGACGGUACCUCUAGAAUAAGCCACGGCUAACUACGUGCCAGCAGCCGCGGUAAUACGUAGGUCCCGAGCGUUGUCCGGAUUUAUUGGGCGUAAAGCGAGCGCAGGCGGUUUGAUAAGUCUGAAGUUAAAGGCUGUGGCUCAACCAUAGUUCGCUUUGGAAACUGUCAAACUUGAGUGCAGAAGGGGAGAGUGGAAUUCCAUGUGUAGCGGUGAAAUGCGUAGAGAUAGGGAGGAACACCAGUGGCGAAGGCGGCCUACUGGGCUUUAACUGACGCUGAGGCACGAAAGCGUGGGUAGCAAACAGGAUUAGAUACCCUGGUAGUCCACACUGUAAACGAUGAAUACUAGGUGUGCGGGGACUGACCCCCUGCGUGCCGCAGUAAACACAAUAAGUAUUCCACCUGGGGAGUACGAUCGCAAGGUUGAAACUCAAAGGAAUUGACGGGGGCCCGCACAAGCGGUGGAUUAUGUGGUUUAAUUCGAAGCAACGCGAAGAACCUUACCAGGGUUUGACAUCCUGCUAACGAAGUAGAGAUACAUUAGGUGCCCUUCGGGGAAAGCAGAGACAGGUGGUGCAUGGUUGUCGUCAGCUCGUGUCGUGAGAUGUUGGGUUAAGUCCCGCAACGAGCGCAACCCCUAUUGUUAGUUGCUACGCAAGAGCACUCUAGCGAGACUGCCGUUGACAAAACGGAGGAAGGUGGGGACGACGUCAAAUCAUCAUGCCCCUUAUAUCCUGGGCUACACACGUAAUACAAUGGCGGUCAACAGAGGGAAGCAAAGCCGCGAGGCAGAGCAAACCCCCAAAAGCCGUCCCAGUUCGGAUUGUAGGCUGCAACUCGCCUGCAUGAAGUCGGAAUCGCUAGUAAUCGCGGAUCAGCAUGCCGCGGUGAAUACGUUCCCGGGCCUUGUACACACCGCCCGUCACACCAUGAGAGUCGGGAACACCCGAAGUCCGUAGCCUAACCUGAAAAGGAGGGCGCGGCCGAAGGUGGGUUCGAUAAUUGGGGUG
rnacentral:rRNA from 1 species